rnacentral:rRNA from 1 species
UGGUUGGGGAGUUUUGUUGUUAGAUUAGUUAGUAAUAGGGUUGGUAUAUGAUGUGAUAAUAGAAUUUGUGUGGUAUAAGAGAUUAUUAGAUGUUGUAUUAUUUGUGGGGGGUAUGUAGGAGGGCGCUUCUACUUUAGGGGAACGUGGCUACGGGUUGGAUGAUAAUCUAUGGUGUGAAUGGUAGCCUAUGGUAUUUUUUAUAUUGAAGACGUUCGGUGUCUUGAUAAAAUGUUUGACGGUAUACAUAUGGUAUUGAGCCGCAAUUAUUUGUGUUAGACUUACCGCAAGUAAGAUUUUAUUAUAGUAGUGCGGAUGUAAUGGUGUGGCUGGACAAAGUGUGGUGUUAGGUGUGUAA